UACGAGGGGUGCAAGCGUUGCUCGGAAUUAUUGGGCGUAAAGGGUAGGUAGGUGGUCUCAUUUGUCUGGGGUGAAAGCCUUGAGCUUAACUCAAGAAGUGCCCUAGAAACGGUGAGACUAGAGUCCUGGAGAGGGUCGUGGAAUUCCCGGUGUAGCGGUGAAAUGCGUAGAGAUCGGGAGGAACACCAGAGGCGAAGGCGGCGACCUGGACAGGUACUGACACUCAACUACGAAAGCGUGGGGAGCAAACAGG
rnacentral:rRNA from 1 species